GAAAGCGCGACACGGGGAGCUUGAGUGYYUUGGCAUAGCCAARACUUUUYUCAUUCCUAAAAAGCAUGAGGAAUAAGNGCUGGGUAAGACGGGUGCCAGCCGCCGCGGUAACACCCGCAGCACGAGUGGUGGUCACUUUUAUUGAGCCUAAAGCGUUCGUAGCCGGUUUUGUAAAUCUUUAGAUAAAGCCUGAAGCUUAACUCCAGAAAGUCUGAAGAGACUGCAAGACUUGAGAUCGGGUGAGGUUAAACGUACUUUCAGGGUAGGGGUAAAAUCCUGUAAUCCCGGAAGGACGACCAG
rnacentral:rRNA from 1 species